UUUAAACAAUUAAAAAUAUGCACAAAAACAUUUAAUUCAUGAAAAAUAUCAAAAUUAUCCAAAAAAUAAUUUUAAUUCAAAAUAUGAAAGAGAAAAAUAUUUAAAGAUUUUUGGUGAAAGUCCCAUAUUUUUUGGAUUAAAAAUGAAAUUAAUAUGAAUUAAAAAAAAGGGAUUAAAUGAAAAAUCAGAAAUAAAAUAGAAAUUAAAAAAA
rnacentral:lncRNA from 1 species